rnacentral:rRNA from 1 species
GACGAACGCUGGCGGCGUGCCUAAUACAUGUAAGUAGAACGCUGAAGCGAGGAGCUUGCUCUUCUUGGAUGAGUUGCGAACGGGUGAGUAACGCGUAGGUAACCUGCCUUGUAGCGGGGGAUAACUAUUGGAAACGAUAGCUAAUACCGCAUAACAAUGGAUGACACAUGUCAUUUAUUUGAAAGGGGCAAUUGCUCCACUACAAGAUGGACCUGCGUUGUAUUAGCUAGUAGGUGAGGUAAUGGCUCACCUAGGCGACGAUACAUAGCCGACCUGAGAGGGUGAUCGGCCACACUGGGACUGAGACACGGCCCAGACUCCUACGGGAGGCAGCAGUAGGGAAUCCUCGGCAAUGGGGGCAACCCUGACCGAGCAACGCCGCGUGAGUGAAGAAGGUUUUCGGAUCGUAAAGCUCUGUUGUAAGUCAAGAACGGGUGUGAGAGUGGAAAGUUCACACUGUGACGGUAGCUUACCAGAAAGGGACGGCUAACUACGUG